rnacentral:lncRNA from 1 species
GAGACUUCAGUGAAAAUGGCUCCACUUCAGACAAACUGUGAAAUGGUUCAUCUGCCUGAAGCGGAAAAAAUAACCAGAGGAAAAACCGCUGAGACAAGUUCAAACCUCUCAGAAAAGCGUUGGGUGGAGACCCAAAGAAACAAAGGAAAUCAUACAGCAGGAGACUUAAUACCCCGACGCCUUACCACAUUCCAGCUGCUCCAAUCCAAAUUCAUAAGAUCCACACCCAAACCUCCCAUCAGCCAUCAGAGGGAGGUGGGAACUCUGCCCUCCAGCAGAGGAUUGCUGGGUAACAUGAACCGAGACAGCGAGGAUGGCACGCAAAACAGGGAACGAGCCAAAAGACAACGGAAGAAAGAAGGUGGCGUGAAGGAUAUGGUGGCCAAGUUUGCCAUGGCUGAGCAAAAAGAGCAGAAAGUGCUGAAGAAACAGCCGGUCAAACCAAGACUCAUUGGAAGAGGGAUCCUCUUAUCUUCCAUUAUGGAGAAGUUCGAGACCAUGGCCACUGUGUGUCAGGGAAAUGAUUUAAAGUUUUCUCAUGAAAGGAGUUCUCAAGGAGUCAAAGUGACAGUUAAUGUAAAAGAGAAGGUAGCUUCCUUUGAAAGAGAACAGGAGGGCGUCCAAAGUGUCCACAAACCAAACAGAGAGAAUCAAAUUCUUCUCGGGCAGGAGCUGAAAGGAGCUGAAAUUAGAAAUGUGCAGGAUGACAGGAAAGAUCGGGCACACUCAGACUCGGGUGACAGAAAUGAUUUGACGGCAGAGCAAAUGGGAGAGAAGAGCUUAGAUGAUGAGGUUUGCUGCUCAUUAAAACAUUUGAAGGCUCAACCUUAUGAUUUCAGCAUCCAACGGCAAGAAUGUGGUGAAAAUCAGACAGCAGUUGAUGAAGAACAUUGUAGCAACAAGAGGCUAAAAUAUGCACAUGUAGAGCUGCUCUGUUCAGCUUCUGUGACAGAGUGGUCGUUCCCAGAACCUUACAGGCUCUUGCCUCAGGUAGAGUUUCCACUCAAGUGGCGUGUGGUUACAAUCAGGACCUGCUCUCCUGUGUGGUCCAUGUGUGUAGAUUCCUCUAUUGAGCAGUUUGAGCAGGAAAUCAGUCCUAAUGGUUCAGAAUGCCCGAAACAGGACAAGACAGCGAGGAUAACAACAGAUAGUCCUGGUGGAGAUGUGCAACAGUCUCUCAGUGAAUCAGCUGCAGGUGAAUCCUCCACUGCUAUAACCAAAGGCCAUCCAAAACCCAGUAUGAAGGAAUUUUCUACACACGCGCACAUUGACACCACUGACAACCGAGAAUCAAAUCCCCGAAGACCUAUGGCACUUCAAAGCAGGUUGCCCAUGUAUGUCAUCCCACGUGUUUACAGUUUUGGUUAUCAACAAGGUCCCGAUCAGAAUGAUCCCUCCUCUCAAUUAGCCCUGCCCCCACAAAUCAUAAAUCCUAUCGAUCCACUUCCCCCAACGCAAUCUGAUACGUCUUUGGCUGCUCUUAGCACUGCGUUAAAGACGCUGGAGAAUUUUCAAGACACUAACCCAGGCCUGCAUAAUGGCAUCAGCCUCCCUACACACAGAAGAGGAACAGCAGCAGAGGGUGAACCACAAGAAAGAGACAGGGAGGCCAAAGAGGAAACAAAAGCAGCAAAACCAGUGGACAGUAAAGGCUCAAGUACAAUGCAGAGUGUUCGACUUUCAGAAGAUGCUGCCAGUGAGGAAACGUUUGAAGACAGUCAGGUCUCUGCUGUAACUUUACCUGUGAUUCAACACAAGAGAGAGGAUGCAAAGCAGAGACCGAAGUACACGACAAUCAACUACGGGGAUCCAUCAGUCAAGCAAACAUAUAAACCCAAAGUCAUACGAUUUACUGACACCUUCACUUUCUAGACUGAUAAAUUCAUGUUUUCAGUUUGCCCUGACAAUACAGACUUACAAAUAAACCAACAGGUAACUAGUAAUAUUCAAUUAACAUUAUAAACAGCAAAUUAGCUGCAAUCCACAGGCUCAUACAAACUAGGAAAAAGUCAAAGUCUAGUGCCGUUGGGUAUCUUCUGUCAUAUUGAUGGUAUAUUACAACAUACAAUAUCACUCCUAAGAUUACUAACAUUUUUACUGAUAGACCAAAUGUGUGUCAUAGUUGAGUUGUUGCCAUUUAAAUCUGUGCACAGACAAACAAUGACAUUAGACUCAGUUGUCUUCAAACAGCAUUUCUUUCUGAAGCUGUGGUCUGACUGAAUUUACUGUGAAUGUGCUCAAUGAAAUGUUCAGGAACUGUACAGUACGCACUGCUGUUCGAGUUUAACUGUAUCCUGUCUACGUAUUUUACAUGCAAUACCCCUUUAAUGCAAGAUCCCUUCUAUUUGUCUGUGAAUAAAAUGAAACAACACAGUAUUAUAUGUUUGUGAAUCUAGGUUGUUCAUUUCUUUUUUCUAAAUAAACGCAAAACAGGACACGAGCAGAACUCUAAAU